rnacentral:rRNA from 1 species
GACGAACGCUGGCGGCGUGCUUAACACAUGCAAGUCGAACGGAAAGGCCUCUUUCGGGGGGUACUCGAGUGGCGAACGGGUGAGUAACACGUGAGUAACCUGCCCUUGACUUUGGGAUAACUUCAGGAAACUGGGGCUAAUACCGGAUAGGAGCUCCUGCUGCAUGGUGGGGGUUGGAAAGUUUCGGCGGUUGGGGAUGGACUCGCGGCUUAUCAGCUUGUUGGUGGGGUAGUGGCUUACCAAGGCUUUGACGGGUAGCCGGCCUGAGAGGGUGACCGGCCACAUUGGGACUGAGAUACGGCCCAGACUCCUACGGGAGGCAGCAGUGGGGAAUAUUGCACAAUGGGUGGAAGCCUGAUGCAGCAACGCCGUGUGCGGGAUGACGGCCUUCGGGUUGUAAACCGCUUUCGCUCAUGACGAAGCUCUGUGUGACGGUAGUGGGUAAAGAAGCACCGGCUAACUACGUG